CAACUACUCCCUCUGUCCCAAAUUUCUUGUCUUAGAUUUGUCUAGAUACAGAUGUAUGUAAUACUAACAUGUGACUUGAUACAUCCGUAUCUAGACAAAUCUAAGACAAGAAUUUUGGGACGGAGGGAGUACUUU
rfam:Triticum aestivum genome assembly, contig: Triticum_aestivum_CS42_TGACv1_scaffold_437003_5DL